GCCUUCGUAGUGUAAUGGUCAGCACACUCGACGCAUAUUCGAGAGGUCCGAGGUUCGAGUCCCGGCGACGGCA
rnacentral:tRNA from 1 species